AUUGAACGCUGGCGGCAUGCCUUACACAUGCAAGUCGAACGGCAGCGGACCGUUCGGGUGCCGGCGAGUGGCGAACGGGUGAGUAAUAUAUCGGAACGUACCUUUCAGUGGGGGAUAACGUAGCGAAAGUUACGCUAAUACCGCAUAUUCUGUGAGCAGGAAAGCAGGGGAUCGCAAGACCUUGCGCUGAUUGAGCGGCCGAUAUCAGAUUAGCUAGUUGGUGAGGUAAAGGCUCACCAAGGCGACGAUCUGUAGCGGGUCUGAGAGGAUGAUCCGCCACACUGGAACUGAGACACGGUCCAGACUCCUACGGGAGGCAGCAGUGGGGAAUUUUGGACAAUGGGCGCAAGCCUGAUCCAGCCAUGCCGCGUGAGUGAAGAAGGCCUUCGGGUUGUAAAGCUCUUUCAGCCGGGAAGAAAACGCAUGGGUUAAUACCCUGUGUGGAUGACGGUACCGGAAUAAGAAGCACCGGCUAACUACGUG
rnacentral:rRNA from 1 species